rnacentral:lncRNA from 1 species
UCAUGUUCAUGCAAGGAUUCUUGUCUCCCACUUUCAAUAACCUUCUAUAGAAAUAGAAUCACAAACUCGAAUUCAAAGCCUUUGGUAAAAAAAAAAACUUUCUUUCGAGUUGCAGCUAAACCUAACCCGAUUUAAUGUCACCAUCCCAUUGUUGGUUUUCAGGAGUAGUCGACGUAAAAGAAACUAACAUCGAAUCCAAGCGACUUACGGCUGCAGAGAACCUUUGCUCAUCUGUGAAAAUUCUAUAAAUAGUAGCCUCUGGUCAAAAAAUAAGACUUUCCAUAGAUAACAUUGCUUUUAUGCAAGAUAUCGAUUCUAUUCCUCUUUCUUCGAUGAACCCAUACCAAUUCGUUUGACAAACCCACACCAAUUCAAAAAAGAAUCCAAAGAAAGAAAAGCCUUUGAGAGGCAAAACUCUCCCAAAGUUCGCCCUAGCCGCCACAAAUCUCUUUUUCUCCGCUUUCUCUCUCCGGCGGUUGUUUCUUGCCGGAGAGGGUCCUUCUUCUCAUUUUUCUCUUUCGUGCUUCAAUUCUGGCUCUGGGCUGAUGUAAUUCUUAGGUGGAUGUCCCAUUUCUUCUCUCUUGCGAUGCGGUGCCAUGGACAAGCGGCGGAGCUGAGGCGGAUCAAUGGUUGGGACACGUAACUGAAGCUUCUCGAUGUGUUCACGAUCCAGUGAGGUGCCUGCUAUAGAACGGCGGAGCUAAGCUCGGAAGAGUUCACGGAGGGAAGAUCUUAGAUCUAGAUCUGCGACAGGAUUAUGUUUCGUGGGUUUCAAUAGCUUGUGUCGAGGUGUGUUGGCGGGGAUAAGCGGCAGAGCUGAAGCAGAUCGAUGGUUCGGAGACGCAAACAAAGCUUCUCGACGUGUUCAUGAUCUAGUGAGGUGCCUGCUAUAGGACUGUGAAGCUUUGCUUGGAGGAGAUCAUGUUGUGAAGAUUUCUUAGCAGGAGAGAUCAGCUUUGUGGCUUCGGAGGUUGCAUCGCGUGUGGAGGGGAUGGUUUUGCGGCGGAUUUCUUGAACGGUGAUCAGGCCGGCCCAAAGUGAUUUGACGCCUAAAGCGUAGGAUAAAAAUGAUGCCCUUAAUCAAAUUUUUUUUUGCAGCAUAUUUUUGAAUAUUUAAUUAAAAUAAUAUAAAAUAUCAUUGAAACAUAAUUUGUUAUGUGUUUAAGCUUAAGAUCGAUUUUUUUAAAACUCAGAAUCGAUUUUUUGAAGUCCAGAAUCGAUUUUUUGAAGCCCAAAUCGAUUUUUUGAAGUCAAAAUCAAUUUUUUGAAGCCUAAAAUUGAUUUUUUGAAGCCCAAAAUCGAUUUUAUAAACAAAAAUCGAAUUUUUUUUUAAUAUUUGAUAGAGAUAAUGAUUCUUAUUUCUAAGUAAUUUUUUUUUCCCAUUUUUUGGUCUUGAUCGAUGUGGGAUAAAUGUUUUUAAACACACUUGUAAAAAAAUUUUCAGACUUUUUUUGCUACCCCCAAAAUUAGAGUUUUCUGGGCUGCUCUAAAGCCUUUGCUUCAAGGACCUUAGUUGUGGGCCGGCCCUGACGGUGAUGAUCCAGUGAGACGUGGUGGCUGCUAGAGGACGGCGGAGCUAAUCUCGGAGUUUUCCCUGUGAUGGUUUUUGCCGGGUGAUUCCCUUCACUGGAGAGAGACUGGUUGACGCUGGAGAGUCGGUUUGCAAGGGUAGGAAGAAGGUUGAUGUCGGUGGCUGAAGCUUGAGGACGACUUCUCACGGCGUUGUCUUCUCCAUUGCCCAAGGGUUCUUGGUUAUCCAGUUUUUUUCCAUUUUUCAAUUUUCGUAAACCAGUGCCGGUUAUGCCCGGUUUGGGUUGGGUAAGUUUUGCUUUUUUUUUUUUUUUUAAAAGUAACCUUUUUUCUUUAUUAAUGAAAACGCUUUAACAAAAAAAACAAAAAAAGCCAAACCCACACCAAUUCCACAUUAGAUAAAGUAAAAAGGAAACUGUUUUGCAUCACGAACCAACUUAUUCAGACUAUAAUCCAGUAAUCUGAAUCUCCAUAAUCGAGAUUUCCAAAAAAAUAAACCAAAAAAUCAAAGCUUCUAAUCAAAUCGACCAAUUAACUACAAAAAAAAAUAAAAAAAUCUGAUCGACCAAAAAAUUUAAUCAAAAGAAAUUUGGAGUGAAACUCAUUGGAUUGAAUUGGAUAGAAAGAAAUCUGACUGAAAUCAAUUGAAUCCAAUUAAUGAUGAAGGCAUGAAGCUUGAACCCAUGAAUGGAAUCUCGAACAAGUGGGAGAGAAAACGUGGAGGAAGAUCAUCAAAACAGCAUAACAGAGGAAAAUAAAUGUGAGGAAGAUGAGAAUUUUCAGGCGGGAUUAAGGUUGGCAGUUAGGCAACUCUGGUCAUGCACAUUUUGUGACUUGUAGGUUUGUUUAUAAAAAAUAAAUUAGUUGAAGGUUUGGACUAUAAACUCUUUAACUUGGAAACAACUUUGAUAUUUGAAUGUUUUUUUAAUGGUUAUUUUUUGUUGUUGUUUACAUUACUUUUGUAGUUUUAUAGAAACACAUUAUCCUUUUCGUAAUGAGCUUAAUAAAAAAAUUUGCAAAAAUCACAUCGUUAUUUUCGUAGUAGUAAGUUUAACAUCGUCAAUUUUUGAUAAUGAGCUUGCAGUGCACUCUCUAACCCUUUUUGGGUUGAAAACAAGCUCAUUUUCAAUAUUUCAAAGAAGUCAUUGUUUAUUUUGCAAUGAGCUCUCUUGUAAGCCUUCAAAACCUGUCUCUCCCUUGAAGUGAAGAGACCAUCCAAAUACCCAAAAAGUUAUCACUUCUAAUUUGAUCAUGCAGCAUCAAAAGUUUAACCAUUUUAGAAAACAUUUGUUGUAAGUGUUAGAGUAUUUGUUUUUUUUUUAUAAGACAAACAUUGAGUGUUUUUUAUGCAUCUUUUUGGGAACUCCAAAACAAAAGAUGAUUAAACACUAUAAUGCACUAAACAUGUACUGAACCUACAAAUAAACAAUUGGGCUAUUAGUUUCUCACAAAUCUAUUGGGAUUUUUUUGAAGAAAAGAUUUAACUUCAUUAUCGGUAACAAAAUUAAUAGAAACUCUGAAGGCACAUGAAAAACAUGUGGCAGCCCGAGAUAAGAACAUGAUGGAAGGAAAAUUGGCUUAUUCCUACCUAAUCUUUCCGAGAAUGUUAAAUUUAGAUUUGAACAUUUUUUGGGUGAAAACAUACUUAAACGUAACAAAAAUUUGACUUUCAUCUUUAACCAAUUAUUUAUGUGCACAAAACACUUUCCGUCCAUUAUCUGUUAGAACGACGUCAAAUAACGUCUACGUGGCAGCCACGUAAUCUACAACGACAUUUUGAGUUUCCGAGUUUUUUUACAGAAAUUGAUAAAACGUCGUCAUUUUACCAUGAGUCUUAAAACUGAUUAUCAAUAAUCCCGUACGAUAGUCCCACAUCUGGAUCUCGUCACUGUCCAAACAGGCGAGAAUCCAUGGUCUCUUCCUGUGGAAGCUCAGUCCCUUGACAGUUGCACUUUUGGUUUCGAUUUUUGUCAUCGACAUUUUUUCAGACUGGAGAGAUCUCAGCAGAGAAAUGGCUUUUAUGAAGCUCCUCCCGAGUUAGUUAGUGUGCCUGAUUAGAGUUUGUUAGUGUUAAUACAGUUAGUUAAUCACACUGUGUGAUCAAACUCAACAAAAUGAACAUAUUUUUGAUUUAUUUAUUUUUUUAAAAAAUUAGGAUAAAUAUGUAAUUGUUAUACAUCAUAAAACUAAAAAUAUGACACACUAUAUAGUCAAUUUUUAGGAGAAAAUAAAAAGUCGAUAUUAUUUGCCAUACAAUUAUCUUAUACAUAAUUGCGACGAUUUUACGACAACCACAAAAUUUAUAUAAGGGACGCAGAUUUCUUUCUUCCUUCGCUCAUUUCUCACUUCUCCUUCUUUCUCUAAAACCUUUAACCACACUCUCUCUCUCUCUAGAACUUCCCAUCCUCUUCAAAUUUUGUAAGUUUUCUUUAUAACUUUUAAUUGAUUUUUAUUUAUAUUUCGUUAAAUAGAAUUACGGUUUAGAUAGGUUUGGAAUUUAGAAAAAAUUGCAGAUUGCUAUGGCUCCCCGAAGGUUUUACUAUCGGAACCUUUUGACUCCAGCAGAUGGUAGCGGAACGUGGGACUCUACUACGGUGUCCAUCAUCCUGGAGUCCUCAGGAAUGCAAGCCGCCGUAUCUUAGAGCCCGGGAUCUCAACCAGGUUUUGUUCCACCGCCUCCACCACCACCACCACCACCACCACCACC